rnacentral:rRNA from 1 species
AGAGUUUGAUCCUGGCUCAGAUUGAACGCUGGCGGCAUGCCUUACACAUGCAAGUCGAACGGCAGCACGGAGCUUGCUCUGGUGGCGAGUGGCGAACGGGUGAGUAAUAUAUCGGAACGUACCCUAGAGUGGGGGAUAACGUAGCGAAAGUUACGCUAAUACCGCAUACGAUCUAAGGAUGAAAGUGGGGGAUCGCAAGACCUCAUGCUCGUGGAGCGGCCGAUAUCUGAUUAGCUAGUUGGUAGGGUAAAAGCCUACCAAGGCAUCGAUCAGUAGCUGGUCUGAGAGGACGACCAGCCACACUGGAACUGAGACACGGUCCAGACUCCUACGGGAGGCAGCAGUGGGGAAUUUUGGACAAUGGGCGAAAGCCUGAUCCAGCAAUGCCGCGUGAGUGAAGAAGGCCUUCGGGUUGUAAAGCUCUUUUGUCAGGGAAGAAACGGUGAGGGCUAAUAUCCCUUGCUAAUGACGGUACCUGAAGAAUAAGCACCGGCUAACUACGUGCCAGCAGCCGCGGUAAUACGUAGGGUGCAAGCGUUAAUCGGAAUUACUGGGCGUAAAGCGUGCGCAGGCGGUUUUGUAAGUCUGAUGUGAAAUCCCCGGGCUCAACCUGGGAAUUGCAUUGGAGACUGCAAGGCUAGAAUCUGGCAGAGGGGGGUAGAAUUCCACGUGUAGCAGUGAAAUGCGUAGAUAUGUGGAGGAACACCGAUGGCGAAUGCAGCCCCCUGGGUCAAGAUUGACGCUCAUGCACGAAAGCGUGGGGAGCAAACAGGAUUAGAUACCCUGCUAGUCC